UUUUAUCAAAAUUUCUGAAGUUGUAUAUCUUCCGGGUUCAAUAUAUUCUAGAAGAUGCAUUCAAAUUCAGUUGAAGCUUCCCCCUUUAAGGAAGAUGACGAGAGCUCAGUUGAUAUUUAUGAUGGCUUGGACAGCGGUUUAACAGUUCCUGACAAUUCUGCUCCAAGUUCUACACCAACUGGAAACAGUUUAAACUUAUUUGAUG
rnacentral:lncRNA from 1 species